rnacentral:lncRNA from 1 species
AUCUCAUUGUGGUUUUGAUUUGCAUUUGCCUGAUGAUUAGUGAUAUCAAGCACCAUUUCAUACACCUGUUGGCCAUUUGGAUGUCUUUGGAAAAAUAUCUACUCAGGUACUUUGCCCAUUUAAAAAAAUUGGUUAUUGGGUUUUUUUGUCUUUUUUUUUCUGCCCCACUGAACUCUUUGCAAAGCCUGGAUAUCUGUGCUCUUCCUAGACCACCUAGAAUAUCUAUGACCAUCGUCUCCACAGGGAAACUCUUACAUUAACUCCAUCAAGACCUGACUCAAAUGUCACUUCCUCUGAGGAGUCCUCCCUGAUUCCUCUGCUAGAGUUGUCACUCCCUCCUCCUUUUACCCACUGCAGAUGCAGCCUGUGCAUGGCAGUCUCAACUCUCUCACAUGUCACCCUUGCCCUUUGAUGUGGCUCACUUGCUCAUAAGACAGAGUUUCAUGAGUGCUCUGGGCCCAACUCACAGUUGGUGUGCAUAGAUCAUUGGUGGAUAUAUGGAUGGAUGGAUGGAAGGAAGGAUGGAUGGAUGGAAGGAAGGAUGGAUGGAUGGAAGGAUGGAUGGAUGGAAGGAUGGAUGGAAGGAUGGAUGAUGGAUGGAUGGAUGGAAGGAAGGAAGGAAGGAAGGAUGGAAGGAUGGAGGGAUGGAUGGAUGGAUAGAAGGAAGGAAGGAAAGACUGAAGGAUGGAUGGAUGGAUGGAAGGAUGGGUGGAUGGAUGCAAGGAAGGAAGGACGGAUGGAUGGAUGGAGGGAUGCAUGGAUGGAUGGAAAGGUGGAAGUGUG